rnacentral:rRNA from 1 species
AGAGUUUGAUCAUGGCUCAGGAUGAAACGCUAGCUACAGGCUUAACACAUGCAAGUCGAGGGGAAACGACAUCGAAAGCUUGCUUUUGAUGGGCGUCGACCGGCGCACGGGUGAGUAACGCGUAUCCAGCCUGCCCACCACUUGGGGGUAACCUUGCGAAAGUAAGACUAAUACCCAAUGACGUCUCUAGAAGACAUCUGAAGGAGAUUAAAGAUUUAUCGGUGAUGGAUGGGGAUGCGUCUGAUUAGCUUGUUGGCGGGGUAACGGCCACCAAGGCGACGAUCAGUAGGGGUUCUGAGAGGAAGGUCCCCCACAUUGGAACUGAGACACGGUCCAAACUCCUACGGGAGGCGA